CUAGCAAAUAACCCCAGUUCCUCUUAUGACAAAUGCUAUCACCUUUUGUCUUGCCAAUUGUCUAGGUCAGGCACCUGCUUAUCAUCCAUGUCUCUUCCUGUUCCCUCACCUCUCCAAAUCUGUCAAUUCCAUCUUCUAAUUACUUCCUGGUUUCCUUCCCUUUUCUCCAUCCUAGACAUCUGUGGCCUUAAUUCAUGUUCUCUUAUGUUAUUGCAUUUGCUUCCUAAAUCAUAUCUCCAUCCCCAUCCUCAUGACUCAGUUCCGUUCAGUUCAGUCACUCAGUCAUGUCCGAAUCUUUGUGAACCCAAGGACUGCAGCACUGAACAAUUUUAUCCUUAACAGGUUUGACAAGACCUAGCUUCUCAGGGAGCCUCGAGCCAUUAGAGAAUACUGAUGGUCAGAGGGUGCGGUGCCUAAGGGUAUCAGGAAAGCAUUUCUGAAGCAAAACUCCCAAGUGGUACUUCGGACAUGGCCGUCACAGAUCUACUUGAUUACUGCUGUUGGAAAUGCCUAGUGGGCUCUUCCCAGGUGGCCCUGGGGGUAAAGAACCUGCCUGCCAAUGCAGGAGACAGGAGACACAGGUUUGAUCCCUGAGUCAGGACGAUUCCCUGGAGAAGGGCAUGGCAAUCCACUCCAGUAUUCUUGCCUGCAGAAUCCCAUGGACCGAGGAGCCUGGCGGGCUACAGUCCACGGGAUUGCGAAAAGUCGACAGGACUGAGCAACUAACACAAUGGGUAGUUUCCUGAGAACGGAAAAUUAACCCUCGAGUUUUCUUGUCCGAGUUUUCUUGUCCAGGUUUUCUUGGACAGCCAAUAAGAGUUGGAACUGGUGUCCACAUACAUGGGAUGCAAUCUGGGUCUUAAGCAGGGUGGAGCUUCGGGUUGUUGAACUAUAGAGCUUCCGGAUCAUCAUGUGUUGACAUGCCAGGUGCGAGAAUGGAGUUUGUCCACCCUCCACCUUUCAUCCCCACCCCACUCUCCUUUGCAAGGUUGCUUGACGGCUUGCUGGUCCCUCCCCCAUCUGUGAUAAU
rnacentral:lncRNA from 1 species